UGGUGUCUCUAACCUCAGGUCUCU
rnacentral:piRNA from 1 species